rnacentral:misc_RNA from 1 species
GGAAAUUUUGGAAGAGACUAGAAUGUUAAGACGGCAAAUAUGUAGAUACCCCUAUGGAUCCAAAUAAGAAACUACUUCUUGGAUAGGGGAAACCAUUGAAGAAUCCUGAUGGAUAUGGGAGAUUGGUUGGUAAGCUCAACUAUCUUACAAUCACACAACCAAACAUUUCCUUUACUGCAAUUGUGGUUAAUCAGCUGCUUCAUGCUCUGUGUGAUAGUUAUUGAAAUGCAAUCAUUAGCAUUUUGAGAUAUACCAAAGGAGGCUAGGACAGGGCCAAUUAUACGAAGACAAUGGACAUACACAGAUCAUUGG